rnacentral:rRNA from 1 species
UACAGAGGUCUCAAGCGUUGUUCGGAUUCAUUGGGCGUAAAGGGUGCGUAGGCGGCGCGGUAAGUCGGGUGUGAAAUCUCGGGCUUAACUCCGAAACUGCAUUCGAUACUGCCGUGCUUGAGGACUGGAGAGGAGACUGGAAUUUACGGUGUAGCGGUGGAAUGCGCAGAUAUCAGGAGGAACACCGAUGGCGAAGGCAGGUCUCUGGGCUGUAACUGACGCUGAGGAGCGAAAGCAUGGGGAGCGAACAGG